rnacentral:rRNA from 1 species
AUUGAACGCUGGCGGCAGGCCUAACACAUGCAAGUCGAACGAGUGGCGGACGGGUGAGUAAUGUCUGGGAAACUGCCCGAAGGAGGGGGAUAACUACUGGAAACGGUAGCUAAUACCGCAUACCAUCAGAUGUGCCCAGAGGUGCUUAGCUAGUAGGUGGGGUAAAGGGUCACCUAGGCGACGAUCCCUAGCAGGUCUGAGAGGAUGACCAUCCACACGUGGACUGGGACACGGUCCAGACUCCUACGGGAGGCAGGAGUGGGGAAUCUUGCACAAUGGGCGCAAGCCUGAUGCAGCCAUGCCGCGUGGAUGAAGAAGGCCUUCGGGUUGUAAAGUACUUUCAGCGAGAAGGCGUUACUCGCAGAAGAAGCACCGGCUAACUCCGUGCCAGCAGCCGCGGUAAUUC